rnacentral:rRNA from 1 species
GUGGGGAAUCUUGCGCAAUGGGCGAAAGCCUGACGCAGCCAUGCCGCGUGGAUGAUGAAGGUCUUAGGAUUGUAAAAUUCUUUCACCGGGGACGAUAAUGACGGUACCCGGAGAAGAAGCUCCGGCUAACUUCGUGCCAGCAGCCGCGGUAAUACGAAGGGGGCUAGCGUUGCUCGGAAUUACUGGGCGUAAAGGGCGCGUAGGCGGACAGCUUAGUCAGAGGUGAAAGCCCAGGGCUCAACCUUGGAAUUGCCUUUGAUACUGGCUGUCUUGAGUUUGGGAGAGGUGAGUGGAACUCCGAGUGUAGAGGUGAAAUUCGUAGAUAUUCGGAAGAACACCAGUGGCGAAGGCGACUCACUGGCCCAAUACUGACGCUGAGGCGCGAAAGCGUGGGGAGCAAACAGGAUUAGAAACCCCGGUAGUCC